AGGGCCUUGGCACCACUCCAGAUCUCUUUACAGCUCAAAUUCCCGUUUUGCUGAGUAUGUUGCCCAAGACCUCUAUGAUGAUUUCCCGGAACCUCAUUGUAAGGUGGAAAAGGUCACUGGAACCAGGAUUUAAAC